AUUGAACGCUGGCGGCAUGCCUUACACAUGCAAGUCGAACGGCAGCGGGCCCUUCGGGGUGCCGGCGAGUGGCGAACGGGUGAGUAAUGCAUCGGAACGUACCCGGGAGAGGGGGAUAACCGGCCGAAAGGCUGGCUAAUACCGCAUGAACUCGGAAGAGCAAAGCGGGGGACCUUCGGGCCUCGCGCUCUCGGAGCGGCCGAUGUCCGAUUAGGCUAGUUGGUGGGGUAAAGGCCCACCAAGGCGACGAUCGGUAGCGGGUCUGAGAGGACGAUCCGCCACACUGGGACUGAGACACGGCUCAGACUCCUACGGGAGGCAGCAGUGGGGAAUCUUGGACAAUGGGCGCAAGCCUGAUCCAGCAAUGCCGCGUGGGUGAAGAAGGCCUUCGGGUUGUAAAGCCCUUUCGGCGGGGAAGAAAUCGGUCAGGCGAAUAGUCUGGCCGGAUGACGGUACCCGCAGAAGAAGCACCGGCUAACUACGUG
rnacentral:rRNA from 1 species